GACGAACGCUGGCGGCGUGCCUAAUACAUGCACGUAGGCCGAGUUGCGAACGGGUGAGUAACGCGUGGUAACCUACCUAUUAGAGGGGGAUAACUAUUGGAAACGGUAGCUAAUACCGCAUCCCAUCGGAUGUGCCCAGCUUGGAUUAGCUAUUAGGUUGGGUAACGGCUCACCGAGGCGACGAUCCCUAGCUGGUCUGAGAGGAUGACCAGCCACACUGGAACUUAGACACGGUCCAGACUCCUACGGGAGGCAGAAGGGGGGAAUAUGGCACAAUGGGCGCAAGCCUGAUGCAGCCAUGCCGCGUGUAUGAAGAAGGCCUUCGGGUUGUAAAGGACUUUCAGCGAGGAGGCGUUACUCGCAGAAGAAGCACCGGCUAACUCCGUGCCAGCAGCCGCGGUAAUUC
rnacentral:rRNA from 1 species